GGCGGCACGCCUUAUACAUGCAAGUCGAACGAAGUAGCAAUACUUAGUGGCAGACGGGUGAGUAACAUGUAGGUAUCUUCCCUUUGGUGAGGAAUAACACGAGGAAACUUGUGCUAAUACCUCAUAAGUCUUUACGGAGAAAGCUUUAUGCGCCAUUGGAUGAGCCUGCACUUGAUUAGUUUGUUGGUGGGGUAAUGGCCUACCAAGACUUUGAUCAAUAGCUGAUCUGAGAGGAUGAUCAGCCACAUUGGGACUGAGACACGGCCCAAACUCCUACGGGAGGCAGCAGUAGGGAAUAUUGCACAAUGGAGGAAACUCUGAUGCAGCGAUGCCGCGUGAGUGAAGAAGGCCCUUGGGUUGUAAAGCUCUUUCGUCGGGGAAGAAAAUGACUGUACCCGAAUAAGAAGGUCCGGCUAACUUCGUGCCAGCAGCCGCGGUAAUACGAAGGGACCUAGCGUAGUUCGGAAUUACUGGGCUUAAAGAGUUCGUAGGUUGUUAAAAAAGUUGGUGGUGAAAUCCCAGAGCUCAACUCUGGAACUGCCAUCAAAACUUUUUAGCUAGAGUAUGAUAGAGGAAAGCAGAAUUUCUAGUGUAGAGGUGAAAUUCGUAGAUAUUAGAAAGAAUACCAAUUGCGAAGGCAGCUUUCUGGAUCAUUACUGACGCUGAGGAACGAAAGCAUGGGUAGCGAAGAGGAUUAGAUACCCUCGUAGUCCAUGCCGUAAACGAUGUGUGUUAGACGUUGGAAAUUUAUUUUCAGUGUCGCAGCGAAAGCAGUAAACACACCGCCUGGGGAGUACGACCGCAA
rnacentral:rRNA from 1 species